GGCUCCGUGGCUUAAUGGUUACGGCUUCUGCCUCACAAGCAGAAGAUUCAGGGAUCAAAUCCCGGUCGGUACCU
rfam:Culex pipiens quinquefasciatus supercont3.1022 genomic scaffold, whole genome shotgun sequence.